GGGUUGUGAGGUUAAGCGACUAAGCGUACACGGUGGAUGCCCUGGCAGUCAGAGGCGAUGAAGGACGUGCUAAUCUGCGAUAAGCGUCGGUGAGGUGAUAUGAACCGUUAUAACCGGCGAUUUCCGAAUGGGGAAACCCAGUGUGUUUCGACACACUAUCAUUAACUGAAUCCAUAGGUUAAUGAGGCGAACCGGGGGAACUGAAACAUCUAAGUACCCCGAGGAAAAGAAAUCAACCGAGAUUCCCCCAGUAGCGGCGAGCGAACGGGGAGGAGCCCAGAGCCUGAAUCAGUGUGUGUGUUAGUGGAAGCGUCUGGAAAGGCGCGCGAUACAGGGUGACAGCCCCGUACACAAAAAUGCACAUAUUGUGAGCUCGAUGAGUAGGGCGGGACACGUGGUAUCCUGUCUGAAUAUGGGGGGACCAUCCUCCAAGGCUAAAUACUCCUGACUGACCGAUAGUGAACCAGUACCGUGAGGGAAAGGCGAAAAGAACCCCGGCGAGGGGAGUGAAAAAGAACCUGAAACCGUGUACGUACAAGCAGUGGGAGCCUCUUAAUGGGGUGACUGCGUACCUUUUGUAUAAUGGGUCAGCGACUUAUAUUCUGUAGCAAGGUUAACCGAAUAGGGGAGCCGAAGGGAAACCGAGUCUUAACUGGGCGUUAAGUUGCAGGGUAUAGACCCGAAACCCGGUGAUCUAGCCAUGGGCAGGUUGAAGGUUGGGUAACACUAACUGGAGGACCGAACCGACUAAUGUUGAAAAAUUAGCGGAUGACUUGUGGCUGGGGGUGAAAGGCCAAUCAAACCGGGAGAUAGCUGGUUCUCCCCGAAAGCUAUUUAGGUAGCGCCUCGUGAAUUCAUCUCCGGGGGUAGAGCACUGUUUCGGCAAGGGGGUCAUCCCGACUUACCAACCCGAUGCAAACUGCGAAUACCGGAGAAUGUUAUCACGGGAGACACACGGCGGGUGCUAACGUCCGUCGUGAAGAGGGAAACAACCCAGACCGCCAGCUAAGGUCCCAAAGUCAUGGUUAAGUGGGAAACGAUGUGGGAAGGCCCAGACAGCCAGGAUGUUGGCUUAGAAGCAGCCAUCAUUUAAAGAAAGCGUAAUAGCUCACUGGUCGAGUCGGCCUGCGCGGAAGAUGUAACGGGGCUAAACCAUGCACCGAAGCUGCGGCAGCGACACUAUGUGUUGUUGGGUAGGGGAGCGUUCUGUAAGCCUGUGAAGGUGUGCUGUGAGGCAUGCUGGAGGUAUCAGAAGUGCGAAUGCUGACAUAAGUAACGAUAAAGCGGGUGAAAAGCCCGCUCGCCGGAAGACCAAGGGUUCCUGUCCAACGUUAAUCGGGGCAGGGUGAGUCGACCCCUAAGGCGAGGCCGAAAGGCGUAGUCGAUGGGAAACAGGUUAAUAUUCCUGUACUUGGUGUUACUGCGAAGGGGGGACGGAGAAGGCUAUGUUGGCCGGGCGACGGUUGUCCCGGUUUAAGCGUGUAGGCUGGUUUUCCAGGCAAAUCCGGAAAACCAAGGCUGAGGCGUGAUGACGAGGCACUACGGUGCUGAAGCGACAAAUGCCCUGCUUCCAGGAAAAGCCUCUAAGCAUCAGGUAACAUCAAAUCGUACCCCAAACCGACACAGGUGGUCAGGUAGAGAAUACCAAGGCGCUUGAGAGAACUCGGGUGAAGGAACUAGGCAAAAUGGUGCCGUAACUUCGGGAGAAGGCACGCUGAUAUGUAGGUGAAGCGACUUGCUCGUGGAGCUGAAAUCAGUCGAAGAUACCAGCUGGCUGCAACUGUUUAUUAAAAACACAGCACUGUGCAAACACGAAAGUGGACGUAUACGGUGUGACGCCUGCCCGGUGCCGGAAGGUUAAUUGAUGGGGUUAGCGGUAACGCGAAGCUCUUGAUCGAAGCCCCGGUAAACGGCGGCCGUAACUAUAACGGUCCUAAGGUAGCGAAAUUCCUUGUCGGGUAAGUUCCGACCUGCACGAAUGGCGUAAUGAUGGCCAGGCUGUCUCCACCCGAGACUCAGUGAAAUUGAACUCGCUGUGAAGAUGCAGUGUACCCGCGGCAAGACGGAAAGACCCCGUGAACCUUUACUAUAGCUUGACACUGAACAUUGAGCCUUGAUGUGUAGGAUAGGUGGGAGGCUUUGAAGUGUGGACGCCAGUCUGCAUGGAGCCGACCUUGAAAUACCACCCUUUAAUGUUUGAUGUUCUAACGUUGGCCCGUAAUCCGGGUUGCGGACAGUGUCUGGUGGGUAGUUUGACUGGGGCGGUCUCCUCCUAAAGAGUAACGGAGGAGCACGAAGGUUGGCUAAUCCUGGUCGGACAUCAGGAGGUUAGUGCAAUGGCAUAAGCCAGCUUGACUGCGAGCGUGACGGCGCGAGCAGGUGCGAAAGCAGGUCAUAGUGAUCCGGUGGUUCUGAAUGGAAGGGCCAUCGCUCAACGGAUAAAAGGUACUCCGGGGAUAACAGGCUGAUACCGCCCAAGAGUUCAUAUCGACGGCGGUGUUUGGCACCUCGAUGUCGGCUCAUCACAUCCUGGGGCUGAAGUAGGUCCCAAGGGUAUGGCUGUUCGCCAUUUAAAGUGGUACGCGAGCUGGGUUUAGAACGUCGUGAGACAGUUCGGUCCCUAUCUGCCGUGGGCGCUGGAGAACUGAGGGGGGCUGCUCCUAGUACGAGAGGACCGGAGUGGACGCAUCACUGGUGUUCGGGUUGUCAUGCCAAUGGCACUGCCCGGUAGCUAAAUGCGGAAGAGAUAAGUGCUGAAAGCAUCUAAGCACGAAACUUGCCCCGAGAUGAGUUCUCCCUGACUCCUUGAGAGUCCUGAAGGAACGUUGAAGACGACGACGUUGAUAGGCCGGGUGUGUAAGCGCAGCGAUGCGUUGAGCUAACCGGUACUAAUGAACCGUGAGGCUUAACCUUACAACGCCGAAG
rnacentral:rRNA from 1 species